rnacentral:tRNA from 1 species
AUUUAUAUAGUUUAUAUAAAACAUUUCAUUUUCAAUGAAAAAUAAAAGUUAACUUUUAUAAAUU